rnacentral:rRNA from 1 species
UUACUGCUAUCGAGGUUCGACUAAGCCAUGCGAGUCGAAUGUAGCAAUACAUGGCGUACUGCUCAGUAACACGUGGACAACCUACCCUCCGGACGGGGAUAAACCCGGGAAACUGGGUAUAAUACCCGAUAGAUCUCGACUGCUGGAAUGCAUCGAGAUCGAAAGCUCCGGCGCCAGAGGAUGGGUCUGCGGCCUAUCAGGUAGUAGUGGGUGUAGCGUACCUACUAGCCUACGACGGGUACGGGUUGUGAGAGCAAGAGCCCGGAGAUGGAUUCUGAGACACGAAUCCAGGCCCUACGGGGUGCAGCAGGCGCGAAAACUUUACAAUGCCGGCAACGGCGAUAAGGGGACCUCGAGUGCCAGGUUACAAAUCUGGCUGUCGUGAUGCCUAAAAAGCAUUGCAUAGCAAGGGCCGGGCAAGACCGGUGCCAGCCGCCGCGGUAACACCGGCGGCUCGAGUGGUAACCGUUAUUAUUGGGUCUAAAGGGUCUGUAGCCGGCCGGAUAAGUCUCUUGGGAAAUCCAGCAGCUCAACUGUUGGGCUUUCAGGAGAUACUGUCUGGCUCGAGGCCGGGAGAGGUGAGAGGUACUUCAGGGGUAGGGGUGAAAUCUUGUAAUCCUUGAAGGACCACCAGUGGCGAAGGCGUCUCACCAGAACGGACCUGACGGCAAGGGACGAAAGCUAGGGGCACGAACCGGAUUAGAUACCCGGGUAGUCCUAGCCGUAAACGAUACUCGCUAGGUGUCGGCCACGGUGCGACCGUUGUCGGUGCCGUAGGGAAGCCGUGAAGCGAGCCACCUGGGAAGUACGGCCGCAAGGCUGAAACUUAAAGGAAUUGGCGGGGGAGCACCACAACGGGUGGAGCUUGCGGUUUAAUUGGAUU